rnacentral:rRNA from 1 species
GACGAACGCUGGCGGCGUGCCUAAUACAUGCAAGUAGAACGCACAGUUUAUACCGUAGCUUGCUACACCAUAGACUGUGAGUUGCGAACGGGUGAGUAACGCGUAGGUAACCUGCCUGGUAGCGGGGGAUAACUAUUGGAAACGAUAGCUAAUACCGCAUAAUAUUAAUUAUUGCAUGAUAAUUGAUUGAAAGGUGCAAAUGCAUCACUACCAGAUGGACCUGCGUUGUAUUAGCUAGUAGGUGAGGUAACGGCUCACCUAGGCGACGAUACAUAGCUGACCUGAGAGGGUGAUCGGCCACACUGGGACUGAGACACGGCCCAGACUCCUACGGGAGGCAGCAGUAGGGAAUCUUCGGCAAUGGACGAAAGUCUGACCGAGCAACGCCGCGUGAGUGAAGAAGGUUUUCGGAUCGUAAAGCUCUGUUGUAAGAGAAGAACGGGUGUGAGAGUGGAAAGUUCACACUGUGACGGUAUCUUACCAGAAAGGGACGGCUAACUACGUGCCAGCAGCCGCGGUAAUACGUAGGUCCCGAGCGUUGUCCGGAUUUAUUGGGCGUAAAGCGAGCGCAGGCGGUUAGAUAAGUCUGAAGUUAAAGGCUGUGGCUUAACCAUAGUACGCUUUGGAAACUGUUUAACUUGAGUGCAGAAGGGGAGAGUGGAAUUCCAUGUGUAGCGGUGAAAUGCGUAGAUAUAUGGAGGAACACCGGUGGCGAAAGCGGCUCUCUGGUCUGUAACUGACGCUGAGGCUCGAAAGCGUGGGGAGCGAACAGGAUUAGAUACCCUGGUAGUCCAAGGGCGAAUUCCACAGUGGAUAUCAGCUUAUCGAUACCGUCGACCUCGAGGGGGGGCCCGGUACCCAGCUUUGUCCCUUAGAGGGGGUUAAUUAUACGCCCCCAAUAUCGCAAAACAGAACCCGGAGAUAUAGUGUGAGGCUCGCGGUGCCUAAGAGUGAGUACCUGCAUUAUAUGUGUUUGCUCCAUGCUCGCCUUACUGAGUCGAACACCGCAUGGCGACCAUGGA